CAUGUAACUGUAGGGCCGAAAAUUUUCAUAAAUAAAUGAAAAUACUGCAUACCUUAUCAUAUACUGUCUUGGUGGUUGAAAAUGGAUCAAACAAUCCUGUGUGUACGAUUUAAUUUGGUUCAUCUUAUUUGUUUCAUUUAACUUGUGUUUAGUACAGAAUCAGUCCUUCAUUCAAUGUUUUUAGUCGUUUCCUCUUUUUAAAAUUUGUGAUGAAAUAUACAAGGAAUCUGAUGGGAUUCAAAUGAUGUGUUACCGUCAACUGAUGAUAUCUGAGGCUUUACUCAAAGAGGAAAUCACCGCCUAAAACCUAGUUUCACAGCAUGAGACACUUCAGCAAAACAUUGUGAGGCAGAAGCCACACAGUGCUUUCCCUGGAAAGAGAGAUGUGCUUCCCUCUGAUCUUUUGUGGGUGGAUGAUGUUUUCUUCAGUCUUUGCUUUUGGUGAUGUGGCAGUGAAUCGCACGAAACCGUUAUGUGUCAAUCGCGGACAGUCUGCCAAAAUCAGAUGCAACUACAGCCGAACAAAUGACACAGAGAGUAUGACAGCAGCUCUGCAAACAUUAAAUCUUACACUGUGUUCAUAUUACUUUUUUCACAAUACAUGGAAAGAACACCAUUGCAAAGAUUCUGUCAGAUUCACAUGGAUUCCAGAGACUAAGGACAUGACGUUUGAACUCCUAAAUCUCCAAAUUCAGGAUACCGGCACAUACACCUGUUCUGUGAAGAGGAUUGUAAAACCACCUGAAGUGGAUCUCGGAGUUCAAAGAGUUCAAUGCGUCCCGUCUUGUUGCUGUCCUGUGUUAAGAGGCCUGAUGGAUCUUUCAUGAUUCUGUGCUCUGUGGAAUUUUACCCUGAUUCUCUUGAACAGAUGUGGAUCAGAGAUGGAGACGUCCUCAACAGCUCAUACUCAAACAAAUCAUUCAAUGGAUCCUUUAGUCACCAAUCAUACCUUAUAUUGCCACCACAAACUUUCAAUGAUACAAUCUACUCCUGCUGGGUAAACCACCCGUCUUUAAACAAACCACUCGUGGCCAAUGUAUCGAGCUCUGUCUGUUAUGAAAGUGACGGUGUAUCUGUGAUUGGGACAGUAGUGUUUGUCAUGCUGAUAGUGACACUGACUGUCUUUUUGAUCGCACUAGUCAUAUGCAAACAUUACAGAAGAACAUGUCAGCAGUCUGUGAGUGUUACAGUUGAGCCUGUCCUCCCUGAUCCCCUGCAGUCUGAGAUACUGUACUCGACACUGGGUGACCAUCAUCCAGUCCGCUGCAGCCCUUCUGAUGUCCGAUCAAUUGCAUAAUAAACACUGAAUGAGCCAAUAUUACAAUGUUA